CAAGUCAUUACCCUCCGAGUUCAAGUUUGCCAACAAUCCAAACCCUCUGGUUGUGGAAAAACAUGGAGAUGUCAAAUGUAGACACACCAAUCCAAUUUGAUGAAAUGGUUUUGAGAAACAUAUCAGGAUCAUCAUUAAAGGGGUUUCUUGCACCAGAGUUGGGGCAACUCACCCACUUGCAAGAACUAAUUUUGCACGGAAACAAUCUCAUUGGAACAAUACCUAGAGAAUUGGGCGACUUGAAAUAUCUCAGGGUGCUUGAUCUAGGAAUGAAUCAGUUAACAGGACCAAUUCCUCCAGAGUUUGGAAAUCUAACUCAAGUUGUGAAAAUAAUCUUGCAGUCCAACGGGUUGACUGGUAGGCUACCUCCAGAGCUUGAAAACUUGAGAUUCCUUCAAGAACUUCAGCUGGAUAGGAAUAGACUUCAAGGGCCUAUUCCUGCUGGCGAUAGCUCAAA
rnacentral:sRNA from 1 species